AACGAACGCUGGCGGCAGGCUUAACACAUGCAAGUCGAGCGAGGGCUUCGUCCCUAGCGGCGGGCGGGUGAGUAACGCGUGGGAACGUGCCCUUCUCCCUGGAAUAGCCCUGGGAAACCGGGAGUAAUGCCGGAAACGCCCUCGGGGUAUCGCUCCUCGCGUGCAGAGGUUUACCGGGGAAGGUUCGGCCCGCAUCGGAUUAGUUAGUCGGUGGGGUAAUCGCCUACCAAGCGGACGAUCCGUAGCUGGUGUGAGAGGAUGGUCAGCCACACUGGGACUGGGACGCGGCCCAGACUCCUACGGGAUGCAGGAGUGGGGGAUCUUGGACAAUGGGGGCAACCCUGAUCCAGCCAUGCCGCGUGAGCGAUGAAGGCCUUAGGGUUGUAAAGCUCUUUCAGCGGGGAAGAUAAUGACGGUACCCGCAGAAGAAGCCCCGGCUAACUCCGUG
rnacentral:rRNA from 1 species